AUGCAGGCAGUGGCUUUUUUACAGCAAGGAGGAGUGAGAAAGAGUGACCCCCCCACCUCUCCUUCUCUUUCUCACUCUCUUUCACUCUCUCUUACACUCUUUAUCUCUCUCCUCAACUACAUCUUUUCACAUGACCUCACCNCCUCUUGUCUUUUGUCUCUCUCUCUCUCUCUCUCUCUCUCACUUUGCCCCCCCCCCCUCUCUCUCUCUUUAUCUAUCUCUCUCCAACUGCAUCUGGUGUAGGUCAGGCAGACUUUACUCAAGUCAAGUGUUGUAGUAAAACAUAAAGAUGCCCCCCAGGACUGGACUGGGAGUAAACUAAAUGCAUUCUGGGAAAGCCAAAUCAGCAAAACACGGGAUGCAGAAUCUGGAGCUUGUUGUGAACCACUACAAAAUAAAACUAGAAAAACUACAGCCAGGCACGUGCACAGAUGGAUAUUUAAGGGUGCCUGAGCAGCUGCCUUUUUAACCUUUUGUGAGAAAAGUGCCCUUUUCAGAUUUGUGGCGUAGUGUUAAUUAUUGCAUUUGAUUUAAUUUUAGUCUAUUUUCUCUUUUAUAAUUUUAAUGAAUGAACCAUCAAACUGGCUAAUUAAAAAAAAAAUAUAUAUAUAUAUAUAUAUAUAUAUAUUUGAAAAUCCCCUCUCCCCCUCUCCUCUGCCCCCAUGCAAGCACGCACUGACAGCACUCAUCCUGAAGGCAGAAGCUACUGGCACCGAGCGGUCAGAGACGGGCCCGCUCAUUAGGAAGGAUUAGGCAUCCACCUAUGUCGGUAGAUAGCAUUUUAUGAGCUAAACUGACCCAUACGCACCUCCAAAAACACAUAAAUCCUCACAUAGUUCUGCCCAAAAACAAUGACAAUAUCUCUCAACCAGGGGCAUAUGCGUUUUUUAUGUGAGCGCUGAUGCCACCCUGUGAUAAUCAGUGCCCACUUUUAUCUUGUCCGUUCCCAGCGCUCCUCUCCAGGGUGCUGUUGGAGAGAUGCAUCGCUGUGGUGCUCCACCAACGUUCCGUCCAAAAAAUGAUCUAACAUAAAUCAUGUAACAGAUAUAGCAUAUGGUAGGAAGAGUAUGUUGCCUUUUCUGUAGACUACAGGCUUGAGAUACUGGCAAUCUUUUACAUCAUGCAGGUUUCUCUGAUCAAAUAGCCUAACAUAAAUGCCCCCCAAUUAAUAACAAAAAAAAUAUUCUGACAUGUUAUGGACAGGUCAAAGUAAAAUGGACAAUAUGGAACGGACAGUCAAGCUACUCACAACUGAUGUCAAGGAGUUUCAUCCCAUGGGCUAAAUUGUCAUGAUCAAUGGUUUCAAGUUUGUAUCCAUACAUUUUUGACAAGUUGAUCAAAGCGAAAAAGAAAAUACUUUGCAUUUCCCGCUGCGUAAACAUAUUGCAAAUGGGCUCAGGAUAACUCCUCCUGAUAAUGUUUGGUAGCUGAUAUUAAGUUUAAAUAGCCAAAUUGAUGAGUCACGGGAAUCAGGACUAAUAAAGCCAAUGCAAAGUAUGUUUUAGAAGCGUUGGGGCCUACCACAUGGAUGGGCAUUCCUAAAAAUCGAAUUUCAGGCAACACUGUAGGCUAUACCUCAGUAAGCACGGGCCGACGCUGACGCCUUUUGGACGUCUUUUUUUGGUCCUGUCAGACUGGACGUCUUGUUUUGUUGCAGUCCAGAUCGGCCUUGAUUUCCACG
rnacentral:lncRNA from 13 species